UGGAUUUGUAGUAUAUACGUGGUUAGAAAU
rnacentral:piRNA from 1 species